UACAGAGGUCUCAAGCGUUGUUCGGAUUCAUUGGGCGUAAAGGGCGCGUAGGCGGCAAUUCAAGUCAGCUGUGAAAUCUCUGGGCUUAACCCAGAACGGCCAGCUGAUACUGCUUUGCUAGAGUGCAGAAGGGGCAAUCGGAAUUCUUGGUGUAGCGGUGAAAUGCGUAGAUAUCAAGAGGAACACCUGAGGUGAAGACGGGUUGCUGGGCUGACACUGACGCUGAGGCGCGAAAGCCAGGGGAGCAAACGGG
rnacentral:rRNA from 1 species